UACACUGAUAUAUAUCGACUGCUCAGACAAGAAACAAUCGAUAACUGGACAUCGAUAACUCAAUUCAUACAUUCCGCUAACAUAAACAUUUAAUUUAACACAACAAUAACACACUGCUCACAUUUUCACGCUAACACAUUCACACCUCACCUCAUAAUAAUAAACAACACAAUUAAUCGCAUAAACCAUUACACACAACCAUUGUUAACAUAAUCAUCGUUCAUCGCCAUCAUAAUAUCAUCACUAGAAAUGCUCGCACGAUUAUUACUCAACGAAUAAUUUAUUUUCUUGAAAUCUAAUUUCAUACAAAGGCUGUGGCGUUAACCCGUUAUAUACGGGGAGGCCAAAUAAAUCUUCCUCCUCUACGGACAGGAAGUAACUUAACAACAAAAAAUAAACAAAUCGGGGACAAAUAUGACGGAAAAGUGGCAUUAGAUGUGGAUGCCAAAGCGCACCCACCCUUCCUGUGAGGCCCCAAGUGACGCGAGGGAGGCACCACCCAUCGUUAACGGCCGGAAUCACCAACAGGCUGUCUACGACCGGUCCAUCUCCCCCAACAGGUAAUGAUGCUUCUUCACAUUCGUGACCCUAAACGCACCAGCGUGUGGGAAAUUAGUUAAGGAGUCACAGCAGUUGCACCAAUCAAGGUCAGGAAACUGGCUACAGUCGCCACGGAACCAAUACUUCGCGCAGGCUGGAUUUGGUCUACUGGGGAGCUCCGAGGGAUAAGAAAGGACUGUUUCCCUCACUUCUAGGGAUUCCCACGACCAAAUUGCUGGACUUGACGAGGAGCGAGAAAGUACAAAGAUGGUUGUUGUGCUUUGCAGGUGCCAAAGAGUUGCUGUCAGCACAGCUUUUUGUCCCCAGUGACGGUCGCUGGCGAAGGAUCUAAGGCCAAGUGGGCCUGUAUGUCGGCAGCUUGAGCGGGGAUUUUGGAUUUGCUGGACACAACAAUGAACCAAACUCUUAAUUUAAACAUAUUGAAGUCCAUUUUGCUGCAAAGUGCAGAAAAUCUGGGGAUUCGUGAUAAAUUCCGAUUUUAUCAGGACAAUUAUCCCAAGCACACAUCGCGAACUCUGCCAACAUGGCUCAUUUAAAAUUGCCCGCAUAUCAUGUAACCAUCAGCCUGGUCUCCAGAUAAUAAUAUUAUUGAUAAUUGGUUGGCUAUAUUGGACAGAAAAAUUCGAAAGCGUCAAAUUUUCAAUAAGACGGACCUAAAAAACGCAUUACUCGAAGAAUUGGCCAAAAUUAGUCCCCAAGUGACUUAAAAAUUGGUCGACUCAAUCCCAAAAAGACUUAAAAUGAUUGUUUACAAGGAGGCUAGUCAUACAAAAUAUUAUUUUAUCAUUUUUAGUUCAUAAUCUUAAAAAAAUAUAUAAUUUUAAGGGCUGGUUGAAAUAAGUUGUGGCAUUCAUUUCACCUGUUAUUUGAGUCUUAAAAUCAAAAUAAAUAUAAAAAAACAUUUAAAAAUGUAAGAAUUCAUGAAAUAAAAGUUAAAAUACAGAGCUAUAAA